rnacentral:rRNA from 1 species
AUGACAAAUGGAAAUUCUUAUGGGGCCAGGAAUGUUUUAGUACCAAGAAGGCCCGAGCACGACGCGGCCCGUGCCGUGCUGGCCCGACCCGGCCCAAGUCUCAGUACUACCCACCACCCUCCGAAUCAGAUCAUCAUCACUCUCGAACUCUGCCGUAGUGUAGCACAGCACACUCCCGCGGUCCCACCAGCUCAACUCAAGUCGGUAGAUCCGUCCAGCCGCCAGCGCCCCCACGCCAUUCUCCGCCGACGAGAGCUCCGCCGCAGAUUUGCUCCCCCGGAUCUGCUGCCGAGAUGCUGGUCAGUAUUCACCAAUCAUACAAUUUGGGAGCAAGAUUUGGUGAAGUUUUCUCCGGUUUGCCUGGAGGAUUAUGUUUUCCGCCUCGCCCGGGAUAGAGAAGCCAAGAAAGAAGGUUUCAGGAAGUAUCUUGAAUCCAGCGGCGUGCUCGAUACUCUCACGAAAGCUCUUGUUGCGUUGUAUGAGGAGAACGACAAGCCAUCAUCUGCAGUCGAGUUUGUUCAGCAGAAAUUGGGUGGUCCAUCGAUUUCCGACUAUGAAAAGCUCAAAGCCGAGAAGUUGGAUUUGCAACUGAAGUAUAAUGAGCUUUUAGAGACUCACAAGGAAACAAGUAGACAGCUAUUUACAUGGGAGUCUCAGCUUCUAAUGCAUAUUUGGAUAUCAUAA